rnacentral:lncRNA from 1 species
CCAGUGAUUUUCAGCAUUAUGUUUCUGUUUCCACAUUUUAGGAAGGACCUCAAUUGACCAGCAAAUUGAAGAUGAUUGCAGAAAUUGCAGGAAACAUCUAAGAAGUGAAGAGGCCGAGCAGUCCUGCCGAUAUCAGUUCCUGUGGCAGCAUGGCAAAAUGGUCUCUCUGACUCCAGAUGCACACGAGCACGUGACAGCUGUUGGCGUAAAACCAGGUGGAAAUGUUUCC